GAUGAACGCUGGCGGCGUGCCUAAUACAUGCAAGUCGAGCGAACAGACGAGGAGCUUGCUCCUCUGACGUUAGCGGCGGACGGGUGAGUAACACGUGGAUAACCUACCUAUAAGACUGGGAUAACUUCGGGAAACCGGAGCUAAUACCGGAUAAUAUAUUGAACCGCAUGGUUCAAUAGUGGAAGACGGUUUUGCUGUCACUUAUAGAUGGAUCCGCGCCGCAUUAGCUAGUUGGUAAGGUAACGGCUUACCAAGGCGACGAUGCGUAGCGGACCUGAGAGGAUGAUGAGCCAAACUGGAAAUGAGACACGGUACAGACGACGACGGGAGGCAGAAGGGGGGAAGAUUGGACAAGGGGCGAAAGCCUGAUAAAGCAAGGCCGCGGGGGUGAAGAAGGUAUUAGGAUUGGAAAGCACUUUAGGUGGGGAAGAAGGGAAGGAAGUUAAUAACGGGAUGUUUUGACGGUACCAAAAGAAUAAGCAACGGCUAACUUAGUG
rnacentral:rRNA from 1 species